rnacentral:rRNA from 1 species
AUUGAACGCUGGCGGCAGGCUUAACACAUGCAAGUCGAGCGGGGGAAGGUAGCUUGCUACCUAACCUAGCGGCGGACGGGUGAGUAAUGCUUAGGAAUCUGCCUAUUAGUGGGGGACAACAUUUCGAAAGGGAUGCUAAUACCGCAUACGCCCUAAGGGGGAAAGCAGGGGAUCUUCGGACCUUGCGCUAAUAGAUGAGCCUAAGUCGGAUUAGCUAGUUGGUGGGGUAAAGGCCUACCAAGGCUACGAUCUGUAGCGGGUCUGAGAGGAUGAUCCGCCACACUGGGACUGAGACACGGCCCAGACUCCUGCGGGAGGAAGCAGUGGGGAAUAUUGGACAAUGGGGGGAACCCUAAUCCAGCCAUGCCGCGUGUGUGAAGAAGGCCUUUUGGUUGUAAAGCACUUUAAGCGAGGAGGAGGCUACCGAGAUUAAUACUCUUGGAUAGUGGACGUUACUCGCAGAAUAAGCACCGGCUAACUCUGUGCCAGCAGCCGCCGUAACAC